GGGCAAAUCCCCUUUAAUUUAAAUAUAUAGAACAGUCUAUUAAACAUUUUUGUUCUUCAGAAGAUACUGUUCCGUUCCAUCAAAACAAACUUUCAUUCAUUACAGGUGUUGCCGUAAGGCUGCCGAGCUCUCUGGGUGUCUAACCUUCCCUUCUUGUCAUCAGCUAUUAAAACUACUAAAACAGAAGAAUGCUUAACCACUCCAGCUGUUAAAACAUUAGUACAUGCUUUGGAUUCUUGACAGUGGUGGCACACAAUGCUCUGGGCAGGAGACUCUGUUUCCACCAACCUAGGCCAUGCACAAAUCUCAUGCCUCAAACGUCUCCAGAGGUCAAAAAUCAGAUACUAGAGUCAGUGAACCAGUGUAUCAUCUUGCUUUUCUCCUAAAAGAGAGAAUUCUACCAACUUCCUUAAGAAGUAAAAGCAACAAUAUAAAAAUAUUAUGGCGUGCUUCAAAGUUUGACUGAAGAGUCUCAUGAGGCCAACACAG
rnacentral:lncRNA from 1 species